UACGUAGGGGGCAAGCGUUGUCCGGAAUCAUUGGGCGUAAAGCGCGUAGGCGGCCCGGUAAGUCCGCUGUAAAAGUCAAAGGCUCAACCUUUGAAUGUCAGUGGAUACUGCCGGGCUAGAGUCCGGAAGAGGCGAGUGGAAUUCCUGGUGUAGCGGUGGAAUGCGCAGAUAUCAGGAGGAACACCAACGGCGAAGGCAGCUCGCUAGGACGGUACUGACGCUGAGGCGCGAAAGCGUGGGGAGCGAACAGG
rnacentral:rRNA from 1 species